UACGAAGGGUGCAAACGUUGCUCGGAAUCAUUGGGCGUAAAGCGCACGUAGGCGGCCCGAUAAGUCGGAUGUGAAAUCCCUCGGCUUAACCGAGGAAGUGCAUUCGAAACUGUCGGGCUCGAGUAUGGAAGAGGGUCGCAGAAUUCCCGGUGUAGAGGUGAAAUUCGUAGAUAUUGGGAGGAACACCUGAGGCGAAGGCGGGUUGCUAGGCUGACACUGACGCUGAGGCGCGAAAGCUAGGGUAGCAAACGGG
rnacentral:rRNA from 1 species